rnacentral:rRNA from 1 species
UACGUAGGGUGCGAGCGUUAAUCGGAAUUACUGGGCGUAAAGGGCGCGUAGGCGGUUCUUUAAGUCAGGCGUGAAAGCCCUGGGCUCAACCUGGGAGUGGCGCUUGAUACUGGAGGACUAGAGAGUGGGAGAGGUUGGUGGAAUUCCCAGUGUAGAGGUGAAAUUCGUAGAUAUUGGGAAGAACACCGGUGGCGAAGGCGGCCAACUGGACCAUUUCUGACGCUGAGGCGCGAAAGCGUGGGGAGCAAACAGG